GCAAACUUGGUCAUUUAGAGGAAGUAAAAGUCGUAACAAGGUUUCCGUAGGUGAACCUGCGGAAGGAUCAUUACCAGGGUUCUUUUCCAACCCAACUCAUCCACCGUGUGCACCAAUAGAAACGGAAAUCUCGGCAGAAUUCCUCCUCGGAAGGAAGGAAGGAAGGCGGGAUUUUUCUUUCACAUUUUCAAUCACCAACUGAACGUUUGUCUGAAUCUUUUUGUUAAAAAAAGAACUAAUACAACUUUCAACAACGGAUCUCUUGGCUCUCGCAUCGAUGAAGAACGCAGC
rnacentral:misc_RNA from 1 species